GAAAUUUGCAUAGAUAUAUCCGCUCGCCAAAUUUUGUUUUUGUUUUCAUUUAUUAAGGUGGAAACAAAAGAAAAAUAUCGAAGGCAUUUUAAAAGUAUACAAGAUUUUACUGUUGUAACUGAAUAUAUAAGGACGUAGUCUGUCACCCUUUGUAUAAAGUUGGUGGGACAUACUCGGGACUUCUUCUUAAGCAAAAAACGGCGAUCCUUUUGUAGUUCAUAAGUGUGAUGAUUGGGUGUUCACGCUGUUGUGUGACAUGUGCCUCCCUCAAACCUUGUUACGACCUGGGCACAUUACCCGUCUGACGUGAACUUAGAGGAUCCUUUUUAUCUUUCAACUCUCCUGAAAAAAGGAGCCCGGGGAAGCGGACUGCAUUGCUGCCAAGGCGUGAGCGGGAGCGCGGAGAAAUGGGCGGCGCACACCUGGAGGGGUGAUAAGAAUGUUCUGGAGUUAGCUAGUGGUGCCAGUUGCCCAACCUUAUAAAAAUACUAAAACCUGCUGAAUUAUAUACUUUAAAAAGGCGCCUGGCUGGCUCAGCCCGUUAAGCAUCUGCCUUCGGCUCGGUUAUGAUCCCAGGGUCCUGGGAUGAAGUUGCCCACAUCAAGCCCUCAACAGGCUCCGCACUCAGUGGGAAGUCGUCCUCUCCCUGUCCCUCUGCCCCUCCCCUCUGCUCGGGCUCUCUUUCUCUCACGUGCUCUCUCU